GUUAGCAAACCCAAUAGAAAUAAACCCCAUUCAGCUUCCCAGAUUUGUCCAGUUAACAGCUCUAGAUUUUAUUUGUGUCAUUUUUUUUUUGUAAAUUCUUGGGAAUGUUGAAGUCUUUCUUGUAGCAAAAAUCACCGACUGCAUUUGAUCUGUUUGACAACCGAACUAAAUAGUUUUCUGAAAGCCAAUUAGCUGUCGGACUUAACCAUCAUAGUACCUUUUUCCGUGAAGCAGUUCAACUAACCUUCCUGUCAAAAUGUGCUGCGGACCUUGCUACUCGUGCUGCGGACCCUGCGGAGGAUGCUGUGGACCUUGCGGGCCCUGCGGUGGCUGUUGUGGACCGUGCGGACCUUGUGGACCUUGUGGACCCUGCGGCGGCUGUUGUGGACCUUGCGGAGGAUGCUGCGGACCCUGCUGUGGUGGCUGUGGUCCCUGCUGUUAGAAACGUCUUCAGAACGAAACCUAGGUACUAGCAAAUAUUCGGUACAAAAAGCUACAGCAGACCCUUUGUAUUGUUUAUCUUUCAUAUAGUAAGCAUAAAUAAAUGAAACACUGAUUUAUAAAAA